GGAGAGGUGGCUGAGUGGUUGAAAGCGGUAGAUUGCUAAUCUGUUGUACAACAUAUUUGUACCGAGGGUUCGAAUCCCUUCUUCUCCU
rnacentral:tRNA from 1 species